GUUCUGGGGAUCGCCUGUGGCUCGGGGGCGGGGGAUGAUAAAUCCCCCUUGGAAAGCUCAAGCAGGUGGGGGCAGCCGGUUGUGCUGCAGAUCUGGGGUUUCUGUGAAGUCCCUGAGCCCGGAGAAACGCCCUGGGUGUGAGGACUUGGAAGGUAGGGACCAAAUUAGUAGCGGGGAGUGCUGCAGUAUACCCAAACCUGAGAUCGCCUAAGAAACCGUGCCUUUUCCAGACCCAGAAUGGCCUGCAACGGCAGCGCAGGUGGACAUUUGGGUGCCCUGCAAUUGAGAUAAGACAAGGAGAAAUCGCAUACUGCAAAAUACUUUUCUUGUAGCAAGAAAGUAAUUUCAGGUGUGAACAGAAACUCAGUCACUUGAUCUUCCUGUAACCAGUGAUGUGAUUAAUUAUAUCUGGGAAAUGGGUGUAAAUGCAAAACAUUUGUGAAUGGAAAUGUGUAAAAAAUGCAUUAAGAUGUGGUUUUGGUUUGGGUUGUGUAUGAACCUGCAUCCACCUCUUGUCUGCAGUCAGCCUGAUUUUGUGAUUGAUCGUGCUCGCAGGGGCCUUCCUUGGCCAGUGUGUUUCAACCGUAUUGCAACAGGAGAUGGCAGAGUUCCCAACCGAGAGCAUGGCAUGCCAAUGUAAGAAAAAGAUAUGCUUUAUAUUCUCCUUACCCUAGUGGUUUCCUUCAGAAGUAUGAAUAUUGCUGUCCCUGCGCUUGUUUCAGCUGAACAGCGUACUUUCUUGUUUAUUUCUUCAUUCCAUAGGCACAGAAAUUCUUGGUUGUUCUGGCAGUUUGUCUCUCUUUCCAGAAUAUGGUGUUCUCUUUGCUGGUAAUUCCUGUUAUGAACUGGUAUUUCUUGUUCAAUAUUAUCUGUGUUUUAUGCUUGGCUGGCUGCAAGGUUAGCUCCAAGCAUGGCUUUCCAGGAGAUACGUAAUCACUCUCUUUCAUCAGCCUAAAUGCUUGCUUUAAACUACUGAAUUCCUUUUGGUUUUCCAUAGCUUUUAUUUUUUUGUAGUGUCUUAUGGCACACAAAUCCUUUAUCCUUUUCACCCCAGAUUUGGCUAAAUACCUUAAUUACAAAGUCAUUUAGUUGUCUGUUUUAGUAAAUGUGUCUGUAAUUGUCUCAUGUUAGUAGACUGGUAUUUGCUAAGCUACUACAGUUUGUUUGGGGAUGAAAAUUACAUGCAAAAUAGAAACAUCAGUAUCUCCACUCCAUAAUCUUGCCUUAAUUUUCUCACUUAUCAAGUUGAUAUCAGUAAUUAAUGCUCCAAAAACUUAAACUGCAUUUGUUGGUAUUGGUUCAUCCAAGAUCUUCUCGGCUAAUCCCUGUAUUUUUAAUGCUGUUAGUCCUAGUUUCCUUUCAAGUCCCGAGUCAUUCGGUGUGUGAUACUCUCUCUUUCCUGCAACUGGCAAGUCAAUAGCAGAGCUAAUCUGUUUUGAUUCAUAUUGUGAGGAUGCCACAGGAGUUGAACAAUGUCAGUUGUGCAGUUGCUGUGCGUUUGCGUCUUUUACUCUGGAGAAGGAAAAUAGCCAAAUGAAGAUGAGAUGAGAGGGGGAUUCUGAGAGACGAGGAAGGGGACUGUCCAGAGCAAGACAAAGUUGAGAUAGCAAAGAUCAGAGAUGUAGGCUGUUGUGGAGUAACGUGGCUAAAGGAGUAAAUGUCAUGGAGAGAAAUGACUCCAGCUAUGCAGGCAGGAGGACAGUGCAUUCUGCGUGAGAGCUGCUUCUUGUGUCUUCCCAGCUCAGCUAGUUUGUGUCCGUGCAGCUUGCAGUCAGAGAGUAGAAAGGACAUUGAGAAGGAAGAGGCAAUAAGCCAUGAGGAAUUGCUGCAGGUGCAGAGUGUCUUGCUACAGCAUUUCUGACCAUUGGUGGUGGUCCAUGCACCCAGGAGUGCUGAGGGAGGUGGCUGAUGUCAUUGCAGGACCACUUUGAAAGAUCACAGUAAUCAGGAGAGGAUUCUGGUAACUGAAAAAGGGCAAACAUCAUACGCAUUCAAGAAGGGUAAGAAGAAGGAAUGGGCAACUCUAAAACACUCUGUUUAGCCUUGGGUCUCUGGGAGAUGAUGGCACACCUUCUCCUGGAAACUUUGUUUUAAGCAUGUGAAGGACAAGAAGGUGACUGGGAACAGCCAGCAUGGAUUUGACAAGGGCAAUCAUGCCUAACCAACCUGAUUGCCUUCUGUGAUGAGACUGGCUCACAGAACAAGGGGAGAGCAGUGGGUGUUGUUUAUCUUGACUUUAGCAAGGCCUUUGACAUGGUCUCCCAUAUUAUCAUCUUACCAAAUUGCUGAGGUAUGGAUUGGAUAAAUGGACUGUAAUUUGGAUGGAAAAUUGCCUGGAUUGUUGGGCUCAGAUGAUGGUGAUCAGUGGGCUAGCACACAGAGUGUAAGAGAAGAGGCUGAGAAGACUGUUUGUUAUCACACAAUAAUUUUAGGAAAAUAAAUACUUUGCUCCUUAGGGAAAUAAAUACUGUGCUCCUUAAGAAAUAGAUUUAUUUUGGUGGGAAGAGGAAACCAGACUGGUUGUAGAAAGCAAGUUAAAAACAAACAUUGAAGUUUUAGGAGAUUAUACACGUUCUGAGGUCUUUUAAAACCUUGUAAUUGAAAGCACUCUCUUAUUCACUGGUUUAAAUGCUUGUUAAUGCCAGUCCCUCCUUAAAGUCCAGGCAAAAUCAACAUAUCUCUAAGUUCUUGACUAUUUCUUUGAGACAUAUUUGCCACUGGAACUUUAUUGCCUGGGUGCUGGAGCUGUUCCCUCUUGUCUCAUAGUGGUCUUCUGGUAACUUAGGUUUUCAUCUGUGUUUUUCUUUUUCUGCAUCUUGAGCAAAGUAACUUAGUGGAACAUGCAAGCUUUGAUACACAACAGGUUUUUUUUUUUUUUUUUCCUAAAGCCAGAAAUUUACCACUAAAAAAACCCCACCAUACGACUUUCACCAAGUAUACUCGAAACAUUGUAAUUACAGAUGAUCUAGUUUCACAGCUCACAGACAAAGAAAAUGUGUUUGUUUUACUUUAUUAGAUUUCUUGUAAUAUGUUCAUAUGAAACCAAAUGUGCAUAUACACACUCUGUCAAUACUGCCAACUGCAAUUUAUUAAGUUUUAUAAAUUUUUUCCACUAGGUCACUGUAUUGUUAACCAGACAUUGAAUGCAGGAUCAAUGCUGAAGAUGGGAAGGCUAAAUUUCAAAGUAAACAGUCUCAUCUUUCUCUUAAUAAGUUUAUAAGGGGCAUUUUUGAGGAAGUCUUAAUUAAUCAUAGGCCUAAAACCUCUCUUAAUGUGGUUGUAUUUUUCUAACAAGAAAAUAAGAAAGGGAAGGUGUUUGGGCAUAAGCUGUAGCUCACACUGCCGUUUCAGUCUUCCCUGACUGCUGCAAAGCCCCUCAGUCAGUCAUUGUAAUCCAGAGCUGGAACUGGGACCGCGUUCUGGGGAUAUAUCUUGUUGCUUUGUGAUGAACUCUGAGGCCCUGGGAGAAUCUCUUGGUGUUGACAGCCCCUGACAGUAAAUGUCACAUGAAUUCGGAGGGAGCUCACAGCCUUCUGGUGACUGCUAUGAGAAGAGACAUGGUGACAGAAAACCUGAUUGAUGAGCCAUGCCACAAGUAGAGGGAGCGCUGUGUGGUGAUUGCUUAUAAUUGAAUGGUCCACGGAAGUUAUUUCUGGGUUUCCUAUGAAUGGUGACAUACACUCCAGAAGUGUUUUCACAGGGUAGGCCUGCAGAUUUUAACCCUGGUACUCAGCAACUCCCUGUUAACGCAGCGUUAACAGACUUUAAAACUUAACGGGCUGUUUUAGCUUCAUGCCUAGCAUAAUAAUGAAACAAAUGACAACCGGAGAUGGUCAGUCAUGCAAUUACCUUUAGAAAUGUUCCUUUGUCAGCUUUUGCCUUCUCUUUUUAGUGCUUUCUCCUUCUGUCUCAGCUCUGUGAUCUGACAACGCAGAGAUGUUGAUUAUCAAGGUUCUUCCCGAUUCUGACAAUGCGCUUCUCUGACAUGGGCUUGUCGCAGCCAUGUUAAGCACAGCGGUGAUGCUCCUGGCAUUAAAUGGGAAUGUGAGACGUUAUAGCCCACUCACCCAGCAAAGCAUCUGCUCACACUGACCAAUUAAAUUGGCUUCUCUCUCAUUAAAACCCUCGUGCAGACUCUGGUAUGUCACAGAUCUUUAAAAUCUCCAUUAUGAAUUCCACUUUCUUCUGGGUAUUUUUAGCUUAUACUUGAAGAAAUGAUUAUUGUCUCUUGCGCUUAAACAUAUCAAUUUCAGCUCCACAGACAUCUCCUCUGGGCCAUAUUCAAAGACCUGAGCUGACUUGAACUGCUGGAUCUGUAGGGAGGAUUUCAGCACAGCUCUAAGCGCUUGGACAUUGGAGCCAUGCAAGGAGGAAGAGCGAGAGAAAUUCAAGCCCUCCCCCCUUCCCUUUGGGAAGGAAGUGGCUUGCCAGGGCCGGAGAUGGUGGGAAUUCUGGCCCUGGAACAUCAGCUUCUCUCUCCAACCUACAGUGGACAAAAUGACAGCAAUACUACAGCACAACCAUUUAAUUCAAUGGAUCCUGUGGGAAGCUCAGCUAUAGCUGGUUCUGAUCAAUAUUGCCUGUCAACCUUUCUUGAGGAGCAGUACUUGAGACUGGAUAUGCCUCUGCACUGAGGCGUUACUGAGUACAGCAAAGGACCUGCAAGAUGCCUUGUAGUGAACCAUUGGAAACUAACUCUCAGAGUGCAGAUUCCAACCAGAUUUGUGUCAUGACUUUAGCCAGGGAAUUCUUGCACUCAUGAAUGUCAUGUGGGACAAUGUCAGGAGCCUCAGUGACAUUGAGUCUCCCUGCAGGAGGGAUGGAAGAUGGUAAAUGUGACAGCAAUCCCUGAGAAGGUCCCCAGGAGUGAAGAAUUGCAGACCGUCACACUGAAGUCUGUACUGAGCAAAUUAGAAACUCUGGCCUCAAACUGCUCUGGGUAUGUGCUGAGAGCUAUGUGGGCAAUGAAGACAGUAGCUGAAGCAAUUACUGAAGCAUUAGUGACUUCCCUGGAAGCUCUUGGAAGGCAGGUAGGAUCGCUGAGCACUACAGAAAGGCAAACACAGUUUACUUUUUUGAAAAAGGGAAAUCAGGGAAUUAGAGACCACUUUCACCAGAAAUAAGUCUGAAAAAAUAUUACGUGAUCAAUUUAAAGCAAGUAGAAGAUAAAAAGGAAAAAAACAAACAUAGAUUUACCAAGAAUAAAUCAUGCGAUCUUACUGUAAUUUCCUUCUUUGAGAAAAUAAUGUCUAGUAGAUGAAGAGGAGGCAGCAGAUGGGACAUAUUUUGCUUUAGGAAAGCUUUUGAAACUGUUCCACUUGAUUCUCUCAGAAGCAGACUAAAGAAAUAUGGUCUAUAUCAGUGUGCCCAGUAUUUCUGGCUGGGUGAGACACUUACCUUGUUUCUGUAUAAGGGAGAGACCAUAUGUUGCAGCCCUUCCUCUAAUGCAUAACUGUAUUGUGCAAGCAUAGAAAAGCCAGUGCUUCCUGGGGCAAUGAGAUUUAUUGCAUAUGUGCAGACAGAUUCACAUACUGCCAUGAACAGAGGCACUAAGUGGGCUCCCGGCAAAGAUGGCCCGCAGUAUACUCAAAAUAGUCCAUCAAGCGGGCAGCCCUCCUCCCUGUGGACUUGAGUCUGGUUCCAGAAAGGGGUGAGGGAGACCACAGCCAAAUUCAUUGUCCUAGCAGGUGCUGUGCAGUUCAUAGCUUGAGGUUCAUCAUUUAGAAGGUACGUGAUAUUACUGUAAUGUGGGUGGCAAUGGUGCACUGUCAGAUUGGGAGGUUAUUUUGACUGGAGUCCUGCUGGCGUGUGUCCUGGGCCCAGUUCUAUUCAGUUUUUUAAUUAAUGACCUAUAAGAUUUAACAAAGAACUCACUCAUAAAAUUUGUGGAUAAACCAAGAUGCACUUUGAAGGUCAGGAUCAGACUUCCAAUGAUUUUGAGAAACUGGAGAAGGUGAUCCAGAAAUCAAUAGUAUGAAAUAAAAAGAAACAAGUGCCAUGUGCCACAUUUAUGAAAGAGGAAAGAAAUAUCAAAAUAUAAAAAAAGGUAUAACUGACUGCCUGAAGCAUGCCAGGAAAAGAUAUGGGAAUUAGAGAAAAUAAAAACUUAAACAUGAGUGAGCAAUCAUGAAACUCUCAUACCGGGAGAUGUUGAUGAAAUGUAUUAAAACAUGAGAGAAAGUCUCAUUUUCUGCAGUGCUGUUGAGGCCUUUGCUGGACUUUUGUGUCCACACUUAGUGCUAGAGGGAUCUGGUGAUGUGAAUGAUGUGGGUACUGACAACAGAGGAAUGAGUAGGAAAGGAAUUUUGAAAGUGGAAUCACAGUGUUAUAAAUUGCCACAGUACCAGACAAGCAGAUUCUUAGUCAUUGGUGAGGUAGUUUUUACAGGAGAGAUAAGCUAUAUAAAUCAAUGUGAAACUAGAUUGCAAACUAGGUUUUAACAUUCAAAAGCAAUGAGGUAUUUUUAUAGUUGACGGUUGUGGAAACUCACCAAAUAAGCAACAGCACAUGGUUCAAGAUCGCAACUCCUCUUCAAGAGAAAUAAGAAAAUUCUUGUAAUUUAGAAAAAUGGAAGGAACUGAAAUCAAUAACAUUGAGGAAGGAAAUAGCAAAGAAUGGUCUCAGCAAUUAAAGUCCCAGCUAAGCAGGCCCCAUGAAAAAUGGGCAACUAGAUCAAUACAAAAUGUAGAAAUAUAUCUAUACAAAUGCUGCAACUCUGAAACCUAGAAGAAGUGAACUAGAUUGUCUGAUUUUAAAGGAAGUUAUUGACAUAAUAAAUGCCUCAGAAACUUGGCAGAAGGGUAGGAAACUGUAAUAAUAGGGAACAAAUUAUAGAGGAAGGCUGGAAAGGGGUGCAUUAGUGGUGAAGCAGUGGAGAGUAUGAGGAAUUGUCCCUAAAUGAAGUUUCAGCAGAGGACAUUUUGGAACAAAUCAAUAAAAUGAACAGUAAGAAGGCACCAAGAUAAGAUGAUACUCAAUCAAGAGUUCUGAAAGACCUCAAACACUAGAUUAAGAGAAAGCUAAAUGUAGCAUGAAAAGUGUCAUUUAAGUUGACCACACUGCAAGAAGGAUGGAAAGUGGCAAAUGUGUCUUCAGCCUUGAGAAAAAGGACUCCAGGACAAAUGUGGAAAACCACAGAUCAGUAAAUCUCACUUCCAAACUGAGUAAGUGGGUAAAAACUACAAUAAUAAAGAAGAGAACGAGUAGACAAUUUCAUAAAUGUGAUUUAUUUGGAAAAAGUCAUUACAGUUCUUGCAGAAGGAGACCAUGUCUCAUAAAUCUAUUUGAACUCUUUGAAGAUGUCAACAAGCUUGUAGGUAAGGCUGAUCUAGUUGAUAAAGUGUGUAUGGACUUCCAAACAAAUGUCAAUAAGUCUUUCUGCAAAGACUCUUCAAGUAGUUAAGCUGAGAUAAUAAGAUGUCCUCUUGUAAGUAAAUAAGACGGAGACAAAAUGGGACAAAAAGUGGGAGAAAAGAUCAGUUUUCCCAGUGAAAGGAGCUCUACAGCUUAGUCAUGCAACUGUUUGAUUUAGGACCUGUGCUUUUCAAUAUCCUUAUAAAUGAUUUGGAAAGGGGGGUGAAUAUUGCAGGUGAUAUCCACAAGGUUUGUGGAUGACACAGAAUUAGCUGAGAUGGUCAAAUUUGACCUUGAGAAGCGAGGCAGAUGGUUCUCAUGGCAGUGAGUGACUGUGUCAGAAACAGCAUGUGAAAGUCAAUGCUAAUCAAUGCAAAGUAGUUUGUCUGGGAAUAUACAUAUUCAAUUAUAUAUUGUACGUAUUCAAUUAUGGAUUGGACAUUACAUUGUUAUCACUCAGAAAUAGAGUUGCUGUAGGAUAGCUCUAUGGAAACAUCGAUGCAGUGACCACAGCAAUAAAAAAUUCAAACUGAAUGAGAGAAAUUUUUAGAAAAGGAAAAAGGGAAAAGAAAAAUAUGAUUAUGUGAUUAUGUCACUGUAUAAAUGUUUGGCAAACUCACGUAUAGAUUAAUAUGUGCAGUUCUGUUCCUCCUUUCUUCAUAAAGAAUUGAAUAGAACUAAAAACGAUGGGUGGGAGUUAUUUAGCUCAGAGAUUUAGACACCUAAAUUUAGAUUUCUACCUGUAGGUGUCAAUCUAUGAGGUAGAUAUAAAAACUCCAACAGUAAAUCAAAGCUUUUUAAUCUGAAUUCCACCCACAAAAAAUGGAUGAGGACAGAAUGGUUUUCAUAUCAGGACAGAGAAAAUAGUCAGGCAUGGGACAGAGAUCUUGAGAUCUCCUAGCUAGCUAGGAAACAAUGAAGAGGGGAUGGCUAUUAUUUUUAACAGUAGGAGAAGUUAAGGAUACCCCAUGAAAUUAUGAGGCAUCAGGUCUAAACCAAGAAGUCAUACAUUCUCAUAUAACUUAUUAUUCAAUUGUAGAAGUUAAUGCCAGAUACUGUUGCGUAGUUCAAAAGUAUAAAUGAAUUAAGAAUUUCUGGAAGGCUGGUGAUGUGCUGGUUUUGGCUAGGGUAGAGUUAAUUUUCUUCAUAGUAGCUGGUAUGGGGCUAUGUUUUGGAUUUGUGCUGAAAGCAGUGUUGAUAACACAGGGAUGUUUUCGUUGCUGCUGAGCAGUGCUUGCACAGAGUCAAGGCCUUUUCUGCUUCUCACCCCACCCCACCAGUGAGGAGGCUGGGGGGGGGCACAAGAAGUUGGGAGGGGACACAGCUGGGACAGCUGACCCUGACUGACCCAAGGGAUAUUCCAUGCCAUAUGACAUCAUGCUCAGCAUGUAAAGCUGGGGGGAGAAGAAGGAAGGGGGUAUGUUUGGAGUUACAGCGUUUGUCUUCCCAAGCAACCGUUACACGUGAUGGAGCCCUGCUUUCCAGGAGAUGGCUGCCCAUGGGAAUGAAUUCCUUGUUUUGCUUUGCUUGUGCGUGCAGCUUUUGCUUUACCUAUUAAACUGUCCUUUAUCUCAACCCAUGAGUUUUCUCACUUUUACUCUUCUGAUUCUCUCCCCCAUCCCACCAGGGGGGAGUGAGCAAGCGGCUGUGUGGGGCUUAGUUGCCGGCUGGGGUUAAACCAUGACAGAUGGGAAGUCAGUGUCCUGCCAAACAGAAUUACGAAGGCUCAUUCAACUGUCAAAAGCCAGGUAGAGGUACGUGGGAAGGACUCCGAGGCAGCUAAGUAGGACAAUAAAGGCAAUUUCUAAGCCAGAACAGAGACCGUGAGUGAGAAACUGGUGUGCGUCCCACCAAUAGCUCUUCUUGUGGUCAGUGGGACACCAUGAAGAGAGAACCACAACUGGGAUCUCAGGAGUAGAAAGUGUGGUAUACUCUAACGUAGACUUUGGGGGAAGGAGAGGGAAAGGGAGAGAGAGAAAUCCUGUGCAGAAAUUUUAGAAAAUGAGAGAGACUGAUGAUAGCUGUAAAACAACAGCCAUUAGCAUAUGUAAUGUCCAGAACAUGGAAACAAGAAGCAGUGUUUAUAGCUCAUGAUCUUCAGCACCUCAGAGUUGAUGGAAUGAAGAAAAUCCUAGAAGCCGCUAGCAGUACAGUGUUCCCAGGGCUUGCAGCCAUUUACACUCCUGCCUGGGGCUUUGAAAUGUAACUACUAGAAUUCACUCGCUAAAUCUAGUCUUUACUAGAGCAAUGCUCUAGUGGUUUUUGAAGGCUUAGAUUGCUAACAGCCACAUUCAGUCCAGCUUAUCUUGCUCUGUCCAAACUCCCUGGGUUUCACUGACCAGUGGUAUUUCAGUCAUUACUGAAGUUGCAGAUGGGUUCCUGAAUGCAAUCAAUAAUGACCCGAACAUGGUCAGUUUGGAUGGAUUGUCUCAGAGGAAUAGCUAACAAGAUAUGCAGGGCUGUGGAGAGUAAGGCUGGAGAACAUCUCUAGCUCUCCAAUGUGGGGCAGAAUUGAAUGAUGAAUGUGGCUACCACUGUAGAUUAGUUUAGUAUAAAGCUGUGUAUAGUGGUCCCAAACUUUCCUCUUUCAAUCCUGCUUUCAUUUUCCAUUUUGUUUGGAUGUAUUUCAUCAUUCGUUUUGUGCUUUAGAAAAAUACUUGUUUCUGUUUUGAGUUACCCCGCUGGCUGUCCCGAGGGCGUUUCCACCAGGCUCUUAAAUGGUUGCAGGUACUUUCUGUGUGCUUAGGCAGCCAUGAAUGUGGCUCCACAGACCUCAAAAGGACUUGGAGUACUCUGGAAAGCAGUAUUGCUCAUCUGCAGAGUGCAAACUCAGAGAAUGAUGAUUUAAUUAGAUUGGUAGCACUGCUUAAAAGCAAAAUUGGAAUCUAAUGCAACUGUCUUUAAAAUACACUUCAGUGUUACAUAAGAAGCCCAUAAUAAAAAUAGAAGUGGAAACCUUUAAACGAGGGUAAAUUUGAUGGCAACUUUUAUAUCUUUCAUUGUAAAGCAUGCUGAGUUGCAGCAUGGUAAAAUCCAUUAGUACUUUGGCGAUUUUUUUUUUUUUUAAA